AAUUAAAUCAGGCUUGUGCCAAAGACAGCAGGUGCAAAUGGCUUAAUAUCCUGCCGAGGUCAAUGUACUCAGUAUCUCCCGUGUCGCCAACACUCAUGAAGUGAUGUGGCGUCUGAGAUACGAAGUAAAACCCCGGCAUGGCGUCCGGGGUUUUGUUUUGGUCGA
rfam:Microcoleus sp. PCC 7113, complete genome.